AGAUUAUAAAGUCAGCUCCUGAUUGAGAUCGAGGACCGCAGCCUUUGCAUUGUUUUGAUCGGCCCACCGAUGAUGAUUGAGGCGCAAACAGUCGCCUGUCCUGCAGCAGAAACGACGGGCUCCUGGAUUCUCUUGAAAAACGCCAAUCGGGUGUUUGUCGAAGCCUCGCUGUUGGAUUCAAGCCCUGACCCCGGCGAGCGGCGCUCUCGCCGGGCCGCAGCCUAUCGCUCCACCUCGGCCGUUCAGCUGCGAGGAUGUCAUCUUUCUUUUUUUAUCGCCCGCUCUCCCUCCUCCCUCCCUGUCUCUUUCUUCCUUUUCUUUUUUAAUUCCUCUUUCUUCUCCCCCUCCUCUCCUUUCCUCGCACCGCUAUGUCCCACUUGCUCUUAAAGGGAUAGGGUUUCCUCUUUGGACACCCCCCUCUCAUUUCCGUCUCCCUCGGCGGAGCCUGUCCUCUCCCCUUCCUUCCUGGGAUUUUCGGCCGACACAAAAUGCACUACAGUGUUUUUUUUUUUUUCUUUCUUCCUCAGGCCAGCUGGAACAGAUCUCCCGCACCGCAGAAAACAGCCAGAAUGACUUUCCAUUAAGGGAGAGAUGACAGACGCAUCUUAAAGGGCAGUGCGCACAGAUCCUCCCAGUCAGCCCAUAAUAAUGAUGUCAGAGUCAGAUAUAGUACACAGGACGAAUAGCAGCUCAGGAUACACACACAAUAGAUGAGAAAUAGAUCAGGAUAAUUGCGUUUGCGUUAUAUAAAUACGGAUAAGAAGAUAAUAUAUGAAUAUGAUAGUGUUAUUAGCCUAUUUAUAAUUCCAAGGAGUGAGAAUCUAUAAUAAACAAUAAACUAAACCUGAAAGAUUGCUGGAUUAAUUGAUUAGUCAAGAGAUCAAAAUUUACUAGCAGCUACUUUUAUGAUUGAAUAAUAAUUUGAGCCACUUUUAAGUUAAAAUCCCCCAAAUCUACUGGUUCCAGCUUCUGAAAUGCAAACUGAAUAUCUGAUAAAUAAAAUAAAUUAAUAUAUUUUAAUGUUUAUGCUGUGAAAAAUUGCACUGAGCAUAUAUAUAUAUAUAUAUAUAUAUAUAUAUAUAUAUAUAAAUAUAUAUUUUAAUUUUUUUUCCUUUCAAUUUCUGUCAUAUUAUGGACAAAUAAUUCAUUGAGAAAUUGAGAAAAUGUUGAUCAAUAAUAAAAUAAUCAUUAGUUGUUGCCCUACACAAGGAUUAAUGCCCAUCAUCAAACAUUUGCACUAUUUUCCUACUAGAUUUCAUAUUACUAAAAAAUAACAGGCAGACUGACUGAUAAGUAGAAUAAUUUAAUGUUGCAGCUAAUGAUUAUUUUUGUUAUAGAUUAAUCUGUUGAUUAUAUUCUGGAUUUAAAGAAAAACAACACAACAAUAACUUCUUCACAGUUUCCCAAAGCCCAGGUUGACAUUGUCAGAUCAAACAGUCAGCAGUCAGAAACAGCAAAUGUUCACAUUUGGUAUUUUUAUCUUUAGAAAAAUUGGUUUGAAUGAAGAAUUAACUUCUGUCAAUUGACUUAUCUUGUUUCAACUCUAAAAGAAGUUAGUUGCAGCCCUGUAAAAAACAUCUUCAUUAUAUUGUCAUCAGAGCAAAGUAUUUCAAAUCCAGACAAAUUAAUGUGUUAAUAUCAAUUUAUUAUCUUUUUUUUAAAUUACUUUUUAAAGCACCCCAUUUCUUUUCCAAUACAUGUGUUAAGACCCUUCUUCCUUCUCCUCCUCAAGCUUGGAUUUGCUUGAUUUGAAUGUUUAAUAAGGAUUUCAACCCCCCCCACCCCUCCCCCCUCCCCCUCCACAAAAAAACAAAACAAACAAAAACUCUGUAAUACACAGAUGAGCCUGUGUUGCUUCCUGUGUUGCUUCUUCUUCGUCUUCAUCCUUCAUUCAGGCAUGGCGCAGACACUGAGACUCCCCUGCUCUCGCCACAGCCUCUGACACUGACAACAACCCGUCUACAAACACUACCACACUGACUUCCCCAACACGAAGGCCGUCCCGAACCCGCCAGUCUUAGUUUAUAUAAGGAGUUUAUGCAUGCACUGAGAUUCCAACCAAGCAUAAAGUAGUAGGUUAUACAGGGAAUUGUCUUGAGCUGGUGUUUCUGAGUCAUACAAACAGCAGGGUGAUUAUCUUUUUUCUUAUUUUUUUUUUUUAAAUUAAAAUUGUUUAAAAAAACAAAACAAAAACCGAACAAACAAACAAAAAAAAAAAAAAAAGUCCAGUUGUUUGUGAGCUCCCUCAAGAAAAUCACAGCCCACAAGAACAGAGAGCAAAACCUUGUGGCCUCAGGAGCAUCAUGUGCCUCCUGCUCAUGAAACACUGAUUGGUGU